rnacentral:rRNA from 1 species
UACGAAGGGUGCAAGCGUUAAUCGGAAUUACUGGGCGUAAAGCGCGCGUAGGCGGUUUGAUUAGUUGGAUGUGAAAGCCCAGGGCUCAACCUUGGAACUGCAUCCAAUACUGUCAGGCUAGAGUACGGGAGAGGGGGGGUAGAAUUCCACGUGUAGCGGUGGAAAUGCGUAGAGAUGUGGAGGAAUACCGGUGGCGAAGG